rnacentral:rRNA from 1 species
GACGAACGCUGGCGGCGUGCUUAACACAUGCAAUUCGAACGGAAAGGCCCUGCUUUUGUGGGGUGCUCGAGUGGCGAACGGGUGAGUAACACGUGAGUAACCUGCCCUUGACUUUGGGAUAACUUCAGGAAACUGGGGCUAAUACCGGAUAGGAGCUCCUGCUGCAUGGUGGGGGUUGGAUAGUUUCGGCGGUUGGGGAUGGACUCGCGGCUUAUCAGCUUGUUGGUGGGGUAGUGACUUACCAAGGCUUUGACGGGUAGCCGGCCUGAGAGGGUGAACGGCCACAUUGGGACUGAGAUACGGCCAAGACUGCUACGGGAGGCAGAAGUGGGGAAUAUUGCACAAUGGGCGGAAGCCGGAUGCAGAAACGCCGCGUGCGGGAUGACGGCCUUCGGGCUGUAAACCGCUUUCGCGUGUGACGAAGCGUGAGUGACGGUAAUGGGUAAAGAAGCACCGGCUAACUACGUG